GUGCAAAUCUUACGUAAGUAACCAUGUCUUCCUGGUGAUGCUUCUCUGUCAUGUGUAGAAGAAGCUACCUAACAGCAGGCAUAUUUAUUCACAGGUAGUUGGCCAGGCUUAUAGUCCCAGCUGUGAAUUCCCUCCUGUUGAGCAAACCUUAAGUCCAGCUAGACAACUGACUUAGAUGCCGCAUUUGCACCUUUGGAUAGCUUGACAGGUCUGCAGUGGCUCACUGCCACUGGUUGCUUUUUCCCCUUGGCAGCUUGGGUAGUACUCAGGGAGGAGAUUACCAAGUUAGUUCAACCUAUACUCCUAUGUUCAAAUUGUAUGAUGGCUUCAGCAAGGGCAGUAGCUUCUGUUGUUUGUGGGGAUCUCCUGGGAGGACCAUUAUCACCCCAGUAAACACAUUAGAAGAAUAGUACUUACUGGUGGUGCUGAUGGUGCUGGAGGUAGUGGUAUGGGUGUGUGUAUGUAAAGCCAUCACCUAUCUCAGAGAAUUCACAGUUGGGAAUUCUCUAAAGCAGCACCAGGAAAUUCAGCUCCCUUGAAGUUGUCUGUUAAAGGAAGGGACUAUGAAAGCAAACAAAGCAGCGGGAUGUCAUAUGACAGCAACCCUACCUGAAGUAGCUGGUCAGAUAUUUGAGGUGCGGGCAGUUGCUUUAUUUGUUCCAUUACGUUUAGACAGAAAGGUUCAGGUGAGUUGCUUUGCUUUGUGUAGAGGAACGGCUACUGGGAAGCAAGAGUACUUGUCAUUGUGUAGGUGAAAGAGAGUUGGGAGGUGUGCAAGGUAAUGCUUGUGUGACUGGCUUGCAUUGAGUAUUGGCAGGGGGAGAAUUAAAUGAGGUGGAAGAACAGGAAAAAUUCUAAGAGCAAAGUUGCUAGGAACUUUUAUUUUCACACCAGAGGGAGCUCAAAGCCCCAGUAUCCAGUUGGGUAUUGAAAUUGUCAAGGAUUGGGACAGCAAUGUUGAAGAAGGAAGAAUAGGUAUAGGUGGCUAUAGCAUAGAAAACAAUCUAUAGUGUGAGAUAGCUUGGGAUUUUAACAUGGCUGUUUGUAAGGGCCCACAGCGAGAAGUAGUGAGAACCAGCCAGUUCAUAAUCAAAGAUUCACAUGUAUUCUCUACAGUGCCUUCCUUCCUUCCCUAAGUCGAGAUUCUGAGUACUUUAAAAGAAUAAGGUAAGAAGGGGCUGGGGAGAUGGUUCAGCAGUUAGAGCACUGGCAGUUAUUACAGAAGAGCUGGAUUCAAAUUUCAGUACUGAUGUGGCAACUCCCAGCUACCUCUCACUCUAGUCCCAAUAGAUCCAGUACCAUCCUCUGUGGGCUCCAGGCGUGAAAGUGCUUCACAGAUACAUGCAGGCAGAAUAGCCAUACUCAUAAAAUAAAAGUAGAAAAUCUCAACG
rnacentral:lncRNA from 1 species